UACGUAGGGGGCUAGCGUUGUCGGGAAUCAUUGGGCGUAAAGCGCGUGUAGGCGGCCCGGUAAGUCCGCUGUGAAAGUCGGGGGCUCAACCCUCGGAUGCCGGUGGAUACUGUCGGGCUCGAGUACGGAAGAGGCGAGUGGAAUUCCUGGUGUAGCGGUGAAAUGCGUAGAUAUCGAGAGGAACACCAGUGGCGAAGGCGAGUCUCUGGACAUUUCCUGACGCUGAGGCACGAAAGCCAGGGGAGCAAACGGG
rnacentral:rRNA from 1 species